rnacentral:rRNA from 1 species
UACGUAGGGGGCAAGCGUUGUCCGGAAUCAUUGGGCGUAAAGAGCGCGUAGGCGGUCCGGUAAGUCCGCUCUGAAAGUCCGGGGCUCAACCCCGGGAGGCGGGCGGAUACUGUCGGGCUAGAGUCCGGAAGAGGCGAGUGGAAUUCCUGGUGUAGCGGUGAAAUGCGCAGAUAUCAGGAGGAACACCAAUGGCGAAGGCAGCUCGCUGGGACGGUACUGACGCUGAGGCGCGAAAGCGUGGGGAGCGAACGGG